UACGUAGGGGGCGAGCGUUGUCCGGAAUUACUGGGCGUAAAGAGAGCGUAGGCGGCACUACAAGUCUCAUGUGAAAUACCCGGGCUUAACUUGGGGGUUGCAUGGGAAACUGUAGAGCUUGAGUACAGGAGAGGCAAGCGGAAUUCCUAGUGUAGCGGUGAAAUGCAUAGAUAUUAGGAGGAACACCAGUGGCGAAGGCGGCUUGCUGGGCUGAAACUGACGCUGAGGCUCGAAAGCGUGGGGAGCAAACAGG
rnacentral:rRNA from 1 species